rnacentral:rRNA from 1 species
AACGAGGGCCUGGCUUGCCAGGUACCCUAGUGGCGCACGGGUGAGUAACGCGUGGGGACCUGCCCUGAAGUGGGGAAUAACGGCUGGAAACGGCCGCUAAUACCGCAUAUGCCCUGAGGGGCAAAGGCUUCGGCCGCUUUAGGAUGGACCCGCGUCGGAUUAGCUAGUUGGUGAGGUAACGGCUUACCAAGGCGACGAUCCGUAGCUGGUCUGAGAGGAUGAUCAGCCACACUGGGACUGAGACACGGCCCAGACUCCUACGGGAGGCAGCAGUGGGGAAUAUUGGACAAUGGGGGAAACCCUGAUCCAGCAAUGCCGCGUGUGUGAAGAAGGCCUUAGGGUUGUAAAGCACUUUCACCCGUGAAGAUGAUGACGGUAGCGGGAGAAGAAGCCCCGGCUAACUCCGUGCCAGCAGCCGCGGUAAUACGGAGGGGGCUAGCGUUGUUCGGAAUUACUGGGCGUAAAGCGCACGUAGGCGGCGUAUCGAGUUAGGUGUGAAAGGCCUGGGCUUAACCUGGGAACUGCACUUAAUACUGGUAUGCUAGAGUCCGGAAGGGGGUAGCGGAAUUCCCAGUGUAGAGGUGAAAUUCGUAGAUAUUG